rnacentral:lncRNA from 1 species
UUUAAAGAUUUUCUGGUCCAAUGUAUGUAGGAACUUCCCAGUUCUGAGAGAAGAGAAUGCUUAUGUAAAAACGUCAAGAUGUAAUAUUUUUGUUCAGUUAAAACGUACAAGAGAGAAAGAAAAUCUUGUAUGCAUUUGUGGUUGUGAGUGUGCAUAAAAAUAUCUGAGAAUCCACCAUAUCACCUCUAGUUUUCUCUGAUUUAUGUUUACUUUUUCUUACUAAAUUUUUCUUAUUAACCUACUGUAAAGUUAACUUAAUUUGGUGUACUUUUGAUUAAUGUUAACCCAUGUGUAGGUGGAUCUAACUACCACCACAGUCAAGAUACAGAACAAUUCUAUCACCCCCGCAAUUCUCUCUUGCUGCCCAUUUGUGGACAUUCCCCUCCUCCAACCCUGACCCCUUGCAAUCACUUUCUGUUCUCUGUCUUUAUAGUUUUGCUUUCUCCAAAAUAUCGUAUAAGUAGAAUUGUAAAGCAUGUCGCCUUUUGAGAUUGGCUUUGUUCACUCAGCAGAGUGCCUUGAAUAUUCAUCCUCAUUGUAUUUAUAUUGUUUGUUUUCAUUGCUGCAUAAUAUUAAUUGUAUGGAUGUACCAGAGUUUGUUUAUCUAUUCACCCACUGAAGGACAUUUUGAUUCUUUCCAGGUUUGGGCAUUUGUGAAUAUCACUACUGUAAACAUUCAUGCACAGGUUUUUAUGUGAACAUAAGUUUUCAUUUCUCUGUGGAAGACAAGUAGGAACAGGAUUCCUAGUUCAUAUGAAAGGCAAACUGCAAAAGACAAAAAAAAAGAAGGACCUCCAGAGUGGCAGAAUAACUCCUCGCCUGUCAGGUAAGCUACACUCACUGUGUGCAUCCCUGAUAUAAAAUGGUGAA